rnacentral:rRNA from 1 species
UAGGGAAUAUUGGACAAUGGACGCAAGUCUGAUCCAGCCAUCCCGCGUGAAGGAUUAAGGCCCUCUGGGUUGUAAACUUCUUUUCUUUGGGAAUAAAAAGCGGUAUUCAUAUCGCCUUGAAGGUACCAGGGGAAUAAGCACCGGCUAACUCCGUGCCAGCAGCCGCGGUAAUACGGAGGGUGCAAGCGUUAUCCGGAUUCACUGGGUUUAAAGGGUGCGUAGGUGGUCUGUUAAGUCAGCGGUGAAAGCCUGGAGCUCAACUCCAGAAUUGCCAUUGAUACUGACGGACUUGAAUCAAGUUGAGGUGGAUGGAAUAUUACAUGUAGCGGUGAAAUGCUUAGAUAUGUAAUAGAACACCAAUUGCGAAGGCAGUUCACUAAGCUUGUAUUGACACUGAGGCACGAAAGCGUGGGGAUCAAACAG